rnacentral:rRNA from 1 species
CUUGGUCAUUUAGAGGAAGUAAAAGUCGUAACAAGGUCUCCGUAGGUGAACCUGCGGAGGGAUCAUUAUCGAACGGCCCUCUGGGCCUUCAAACCCCAAAAACCGUGGAAGCGAGCCGUGCUUCGGCGCCCCCGUGGCGCCGUAUUUAUGCAACCGAGCCGUCUGUGUCUGAAUCAAACCUAGAAUUAAAACUUUCAACAAAGGAUCUCUUGGCUCUCGCAUCGAUGAAGAACGUAGCGAAGCGCGAAAUGUAGUGUGAAUCGCAGAACAUUGUGAAUCAUCGAAUCUUUGAACGCACAUUGCGCCUCUCCCGCGAGAGGCAUGCCUGUCUGAGCGUCGAUUAAACCAAAUGGGCCCAAUCGGGUUCCGUGUUGGGCCUCGCCUCCGAUGAGGUGGCGUCGCCUCGAGGCCAUCGGGUCUGAUGGGCGGACGAGUUCCUGUAGGACGGACCGCCCCUCGACCCACGCGACUUCUGACUUGACCUCGGAUCAGGUAGGGACACCGCCUGAACUUAAGCAUAUCAAUAAGGCGAGGAACAGAAACCAACCGGGAUUCCCUCAGUAGUGGCGAAUGAAGCGGGAAAAGCUCAAGUUUGAAAUCUGGCGGGUGACCUCCAGAGUUGUAAGCUGAUGAGGCGUCGACCGACGCGGCCCGGGCUCAAUUUCCUUGGAACAGGAGGUCAUGGAGGGUGAGAACCCCGUCUGUGGCUCGAGCGCCGUCGUCCUUGUGUCGUGCCCUCUAAGAGUCGGGUUGUUUGGGAAUGCAGCUCAAAAUGGGUGGUAAAUUUCAUCUAAAGCUAAAUACUGGCGAGAGACCGAUAGCAAACAAGUAGAGUGAUCGAAAGAUGAAAAGUACUUUGAAAAGAGAGUGAAACAGUACGUGAAAUUGUUGAAAGGGAAGCGCUUGGCAUCAGCCCAUGGCGUCGGUCCAUCAGCCCGGCUUAUGUCGGGUGCACUGGUCCGACGUCGGGUCAGCGUCGGCUUCGCCCGCCGGAGAAAGGUUCGGGGGAUGUGGCCCCCCUCGGGGAGCGUUAUACCCCUGGGCGUCAUGCGGUGUGGCGAGGUCGAGGUCCGCGGUUUAUCCUAGGACGCUGGCGUAAAGGUUCCAAGCGACCCGUCUUGAAACACGGACC